GGCGCUGUGGCUUAGUUGGUCAAAGCGCCUGUCUUGUAAACAGGAGCAGAUGGUUAAAGCUCCA
rnacentral:tRNA from 1 species